CGGGAGGCAGCAGUGGGGAAUUUUCCGCAAUGGGCGAAAGCCUGACGGAGCAAUACCGCGUGAGGGAAGAAUGCCUAUGGGUUGUAAACCUCUUUUUUCAGGGAGGAAUAAAAUGACGUGUACCUGAAGAAUAAGCAUCGGCUAACUCCGUGCCAGCAGCCGCGGUAAGACGGAGGAUGCAAGUGUUAUCCGGAAUCACUGGGCGUAAAGCGUCUGUAGGUGGUUUAAUAAGUCAACUGUUAAAUCUUGAGGCUCAACUUCAAAAUCGCAGUCGAAACUAUUAGACUAGAGUAUAGUAGAGGUAAAGGGAAUUUCCAGUGGAGCGGUGAAAUGCGUAGAGAUUGGAAAGAACACCGAUGGCGAAAGCACUUUACUGGGCUAUUACUAACACUCAGAGACGAAAGCUAGGGUAGCAAAUGGGAUUAGAUACCCCAGUAGUCCUAGCUGUAAACGAUGGAUACUAGAUGUUGAACAGAUCGACCUGUGCAGUAUCAAAGCUAACGCGUUAAGUAUCCCGCCUGGGAAGUAUGCUCGCAAGAGUGAAACUCAAAGGAAUUG
rnacentral:rRNA from 1 species